UACAGAGGGUGCGAGCGUUAAUCGGAAUUACUGGGCGUAAAGCGUGCGUAGACGGUUAUUUAAGUCGGGUGUGAAAGCCCCGGGCUCAACCUGGGAAUUGCAUUCGAGACUGAAUAGCUAGGGUACGGUAGAGGGAAGCGGAAUUUCCGGUGUAGCGGUGAAAUGCGUAGAUAUCGGAAGGAACAUCAGUGGCGAAAGCGGCUUCC
rnacentral:rRNA from 1 species